rnacentral:lncRNA from 1 species
GUAGAGACCCACGUUUGAGUUGGGCCGGCCUCUGAGAAGGGCGGCCCAACUCGUGAAAAUGGGGGAGGGAGUCUCCCGAAUCGAAAAGCUCCCUCCCCUGUUUUUCGGAAGCCUUCCCCUCCUCCCGAAUCCACCGGGAAGGAGGAUCUUAGGGCGAUAAAAACCUACCGAAUCAGGAAGAUCUCCUCUCUCUCUUCCCCUAGGGCAUCAACCGAGGGCUUCUACAC